ACCUGCACCCGGGAGGAAAGGCGAGGCUCUGCAUCUAGAUUUACCUCGUUCUCUUUUGUCUCCGCUUUUUUUUCACAUUUCCUUGCGCCCCUGGCCCUUGAGCGACAAAAAGGGGAAGCCAAGGCUGGCCCGAGGAACGGAGAGGGCACAUGGCCUAGCCACGAGUGGAGCUUCUGCUCCGCCCGAAGGGAUGCGCUGGAGCGGCCUCUUCCUUCUGCCACGGUCUUUCUUUGCCAACUAGUAGUAGAGAUGGGGUUUCACCAGGUUAGCCAGGCUGGUCUUGAACUCCUGACCUCAAGGGAUCCGCCUGCCUCAGCUUUCCAAAGUGCUGGGAUUACAGGUGGAGACUGGACCUCAGAAGAGGGAGUGGGUGCCCCGAGAACUCACAGCUAGUGGACAGCGGAAAGGGCAGGAGCCGGACCAAGGUGAGGACAGCGGAACUGAAGGCCGCUGGUUACCUCUCCUGCCCUCUGCUGGCCACAGUGGAGAAGACAGCCCCUCCCUCCUGCUCUGACCUGACAGUGUUCAUCCAUCGCCCUGU
rnacentral:antisense_RNA from 1 species